AGAGUUUGAUCAUGGCUCAGAACGAACGCUGGCGGCAGGCUUAACACAUGCAAGUCGAACGCAUCCUUCGGGGUGAGUGGCAGACGGGUGAGUAACACGUGGGAACGUACCUUUCGGUUCGGGAUAACCCAGGGAAACUUGGGCUAAUACCGGAUACGCCCUUCGGGGGAAAGAUUCAUUGCCGAAAGAUCGGCCCGCGUCUGAUUAGCUAGUUGGUGAGGUAAAGGCUCACCAAGGCGACGAUCAGUAGCUGGUCUGAGAGGAUGAUCAGCCACACUGGGACUGAGACACGGCCCAGACUCCUACGGGAGGCAGCAGUGGGGAAUAUUGGACAAUGGGCGCAAGCCUGAUCCAGCCAUGCCGCGUGAGUGAUGAAGGCCUUAGGGUUGUAAAGCUCUUUCGGCGGGGACGAUAAUGACGGUACCCGCAGAAGAAGCCCCGGCUAACUUCGUGCCAGCAGCCGCGGUAAUACGAAGGGGGCUAGCGUUGUUCGGAAUCACUGGGCGUAAAGGGCGCGUAGGCGGCUUUAUAAGUCGGGGGGUGAAAGCCUGUGGCUCAACCACAGAAUUGCCUUCGAUACUGUAGAGCUUGAGACGGAAGAGGUAAGUGGAACUGCGAGUGUAGAGGUGAAAUUCGUAGAUAUUCGCAAGAACACCAGUGGCGAAGGCGGCUUACUGGUCCGGUUCUGACGCUGAGGCGCGAAAGCGUGGGGAGCAAACAGGAUUAGAUACCCUAGUAGUCC
rnacentral:rRNA from 1 species